GAGUGUGAGUGCGAAUGGUUGUUCGUUUCUGUGUGCCCUGCGAUUGGCUGGCAACCGAUUCAGGGUGUCCCCCGCCUACUGCCCGGAGACGGCUGGGAUGGGCUCCAGCACCUCCCGCGACCCUAGUGAGGAUCAAGCGGCUCGGAAGAUGAAUGAAUGAAUGUUAAUUGGUCGCUACUUCACGGAUUUUCAUUUAUCACAGGUGGUUUUGGUCCCCAUUAACAGCGAUAAACGAGGGAUUACUAUUCCCUUGAUUCACCGUCUUCAUUGUUUAUGUCUUGUGACCUGUUGUAACUGUCAUAUGCUUAUGCUGGAGGUUUUUUUGCCUCACUCAAAUUAUCCUCAACAUGAGGGUAGUUGGAGUGUGGGUUUUUUCUCCCUCUUUCCCUCCCCUGUGGUUUCUUUCUGACCUUCGGGUUGAGUGAACGCUGGCGCAUUUUGGCUGCUGCUGCUCAACCCGUAUUAUUUUGUGUUUUUUGUUAUUAUAAAGUGUCCUUGGGUGUCUUGAAAGGCGCUUAUAAAUAAAAUGUAUUAUUAUUAUGAUUAUUAUUAACAUUUCCUAUAUUCAUAGUUUAAAUCCUGGAUACACUCGAACUAUGAUCCCAAAAGACUUGAACAUCGGCUCAAACUCAUCUUACAAUAUUAGGCAAGGCAAGGCAGGUUUAUUCAUGUAGCGCAUUUCGUACACAAGUUAACUCAAUGUGCUUCACGGAGAGGCAGAAGGACAUUCACAGUCACUGCCAGCCCCAGUCUUCGUGGCACUGAAUGACUUAAAGGCAACGUUUAAAAGCAAAAUACAACAUUUAAAGGCAGGCCAAUUAAAAAAAAAAAUCGGAACAAUUUCGGACAUCUUGAGAAGUUGACCAUCAUUGUACUCGAUUUUGUUCCCAGUACUGCUCUUUGCUGUACUUUAAGUGGACAUAUACAAAAUGUCUACACACCCCUGUCCUGGGUUUGACUUUCUUCAGCUGGAACUGGGGCCUUAGACAAAGGGGAGGGAAUUAUGAAGAGUUCAAAACAGCAGUCGACAUGCUCUGAAAAUAUUUGUUUUGCUCUCAUUUGCUAUAUUCACAAAAACCCUGCCUCCGAGGAACAGUGUGUCACUUUUUUAUAUCCGCUGUAACAAUGGGUGAACAAUUGCUGUUUAUUUAUUUAUUUAUUUUUCAGCGGUGAGUCAGAAUAAAAACAUAUAGAUAUAGUUCUGUCAGGUUCCCGCUGUACAACGUAGUGCCUUGGUUGCUGAGGUUGUUAAGUUUAUGGCCGUACAUUGUCUUCUGCAUUAAAGCAGCGCUGGGGCGGUUUAUUUUAGCGCUGUACUCUCCGUGAUUAUAGUGUGACCUCUCACCCACGCCGCCGAGCCGCCAUCAAUUGCGCCUGUUCCAUCUCGAGCGCGGGUGACACCUAACGCUUUUUUAUCUUCAGCCAUCUACCGGGCACUGGCAGGAAAAGCGGAUGGGCGCAUGGCGAUAAUGGAUCUGUCAAGUGGGCAGGUCAUGUGACCGGCCGUACGCCGCCAUCUAAAAGGCACUGCAGAUUAGGCAAAUGAUUCGGACUGGCCAUCACGAGGGAGCAAGAUUGUGACAAGCAGACUCUCUCUCGCUCACCUGUAAUGGUUUAGUUGUGCGCACAAAGAAAAAAUAUAUAUUUUAAAGUCCUCAGCAGCGGUUCCGAUUUGAUAUUCUCACUCUGUGCCAGUGACUCACUUCAUUACUUGCUUUUUGUGUUUUGCCUCUGAUAAUUUUACUUUGCUUCUGUUCUUCUUUGCACAGCGCCAAGUUGGAAUCAAAGUAAGAAAAGGGACAAUAUGAAAUAGGUGUCUAAAUUAUUCAGGCACAUUUAUGGAAUUGUAUUUUUUAGAUAAUGGAUGGAUGGAUUUAUGUUUUGUUUUUUGUUUUUAAAUAAGGAUGUUUGACAGACAGCACUGAAAUGUGCCUUCGUCUGCGCCGGCUGUUUAUCAGAAGAGAGAAGGUGGGGAUAAAAAAUAAAAAAAGGAAGCUCAUUCAUUUGUCAUGUGUUAAGUUUGUCAGGUAAUCACUUCAUGGCACCAAUCAGAAUAUGUUUUUCUGCCUAGCAACUCAUAAUAAAUUCCUCUUUCUGCAUUUUUUUUUUGUUCCAAUGUACACGCACCACUGUUUCUCUGCCCUAGAAGAGCGUCAGAGUCGAAAGUAGGGGUGUGCGGUCGAUGUCGUAUAUGCGACGGUGUAGAUUUGGACUCUCCGGACGAAUGGUGAAAAUGGCUUCAAUCAUGUCUGCGGCAUUUAUUUUAAAGCGAUUCUUUACCUUCACCCAUCCUGUAUGCUUUCCCUGCCACUUGGCGUCAACUGUGAGUUAACACUAAGCGCUAAGCUAGCUUGAAUGCUAUUAGCAGAGACAUCCUUGCAUCCAAUUUCAUUUCUAAUUACAUUUCUGAAGGUAAAAACACUUUCCAACUUCCUUCCUGAACUCUCUCCCUCUCUCUCUCUCAAUGUCAAUAAAAACGGUAGCUUGUUUUAUAACAACGGAUAUUUCUAAGGGGAAGGUUUACUGUGGGAAAACACGAGCUGAUAAAAAGAGACAAACGCGCACAUUCAGGAAAAAAAAAGCAGGCAUUUUACGACCUCAGUCUUAUCAGUAAAGUCUAACUACGCUCCUCUUACCAAUUCUUUGAAAGCACCUAAGGGAACACUCCACGCUGACAGCUAUAACAAGGUGCCAUUUGUGUGUGUGUGUGUGUGUGUGUGUCAGUGCGGAUAUGUGACAAAGGAUGCCAAAGGAUACAACUCCGUAAAGAAAAUCUAAUUAAGUCUAUACAGCCACAAGGGACAGAGCACUACUAGCUGCCUCACUCUCUCACUCGCUCUCUCUCUCUGCAGUGAACGUCUCAGCUGAAGGACUUGCAAGAUGACGGUGUAGUCUAUCAUCUCACUCCCACAGAGAUAAAGAGGGAUGUUAGGGGAAACCAGCAUGAUAAAAUGAUUCCGGGAACGUCAUGAAAAGUUGGCGAUUCUGCGAGGCCCACUUUCAAUCCCAGCUCCUUCAAACCACCAAGCGGCCUCAGAGAGUGACCUCGACACCGUGGCUCGGCGAGAUAACGCUGACAAUAAAAAGCACACAGGCCUCCAAGCUAAUUAAAGGCAGCGCCUCGCUCCUCGCCGCCCAGGGCUGCGGGGCUCACCGCUAAAACAUACAUCAGCCGGGUCAGCCGCCAGAGUCAUCCCGAAGUUUUGACCGCCGCUGGACAU